UCGGGAAUAUUGCGCAAUGGAGGAAACUCUGACGCAGUGACGCCGCGUAUAGGAAGAAGGUUUUCGGAUUGUAAACUAUGUCGUUAGGGAAGAAAAAGACAGUACCUAAGGAGGAAGCUCCGGCUAACUACGUGCCAGCAGCCGCGGUAAUACGUAGGGAGCAAGCGUUAUCCGGAUUUAUUGGGUGUAAAGGGUGCGUAGACGGGCGAUCAAGUUAGUUGCGAAAUCCCUCGGCUCAACUGAGGAACUGCAACUAAAACUGGUUGUCUUGAGUGCAGGAGAGGUAAGUGGAAUUCCUAGUGUAGCGGUGAAAUGCGUAGAUAUUAGGAGGAACACCAGUGGCGAAGGCGACUUACUGGACUGUAACUGACGUUGAGGCACGAAAGUGUGGGGAGCAAACAGGAUUAGAUACC
rnacentral:rRNA from 1 species